rnacentral:rRNA from 1 species
CCCUUAGAUGUUCUGGGCCGCACGCGCGCUACACUGAUACAUGCAACGAGUUUAUAACCUUGAUCUGACGGUCUGGGUAAUCUUCAAACUGUAUCGUGUUAGGGAUCGAUUCUUGCAAUUUUUAAUCGUAAACGAGGAAUUCCUAGUAAACGCAAGUCAUCAGCUUGCAUUGAUUACGUCCCUGCCCUUUGUACACACCGCCCGUCGACUCUACCGAUUGAGUGGUUCGGUGAAAACUUUGGACUGUGGCAUUGUCCUUCAUUGGACUUCGCCGUAGGAAAUUGUUUAAACCUCAUCAUUUAGAGGAAGAAUAAGUCGUAACA